GACGAACGCUGGCGGCGUGCUUAACACAUGCAAGUCGAACGGAAAGACCCUGCUUUUGUGGGGUGCUCGAGUGGCGAACGGGUGAGUAACACGUGAGUAACCUGCCCUUGACUUUGGGAUAACUUCAGGAAACUGGGGCUAAUACCGGAUAGGAGCUCCUGCUGCAUGGUGGGGGUUGGAAAGUUUCGGCGGUUGGGGAUGGACUCGCGGCUUAUCAGCUUGUUGGUGGGGUAGUGGCUUACCAAGGCUUUGACGGGUAGCCGGCCUGAGAGGGUGACCGGCGACAUUGGGACUGAGAUACGGCGCAGACUGCAACGUGAGGCAGCAGUGGGGAGUAUUGCACAAUGGGCGGGAGCCAGAUACAGCAACGCCGCGUGCGGGAUGACGGCCUUCGGGUUGUGAACCACUUUCGCCGGUGACGUGGCGUGAGUGACGGUAAUGAGUAAAGAAGCACCGGCUAACUACGUG
rnacentral:rRNA from 1 species